UGAUCAUAAUCCCAAAACUGUAGGCAUCCAUAACAACUUUACGCUUGAAUUCAUUAAAUACCCACCAAGCUAUAUCGAAACAAUUUGACCUAAUGAGUAAGGACAAAAGAUUAUUGAAGGUGUUUGUUACAUGCAGCGCUUGUUUACUGACUUCGAGGGUCAGCACCUCCAGAAAUAAAGAGGUAGAAGGAGAAGAUAAGCUGGUUUCGAGGGUGCCAGUGCCUCUAGAGGAAAAGGGAGAAAGGAAGCUUUGCUAUUUUCAUUCAUAUCCCCAGCAAGUGCCAUUACAACGGAUUAUAUAGCUACGAAGGGGACAAGGGCCCGACAAGCACUAACAGAAAAGAUAAAUACAAAUCACAAUAUCCUGACAGCAAAUAUUCUGUUAUUACACUACACAUCUUCGAGAAGAUACGGUGCUAGCCUAAGGUUUGCUGGUUUGCGCUUUCUAUGUACUGAUGCAUGAAUGCAUGGGUCACAGCUAACCAUAUUGGGCUGAGGUUGUUGCCUUCCGUUUUGGCCUUAUACUUCUUGCUUCUUGUAGAUCCUUUGCUUCCUGCAGUACUAUCCCUAUCAGUGUUUGAUCUAGGAACAUGACCCCAGUGAAUCAUGUGGUGUAGAAAAGUGAGGGAAUGAACAUAAGCAUUGAAAAUUGCUUCAUAGAGAGGAGUGUUGUAGGUUGAACAAGAGGUGAAAUGGGGGUUGUAUUAGUUGAAGCAUUAAAGAGGAGGGUGAGAUCAUAGAUGAGGGGAUUCGACCAGAGAUUAGGCGUAGGAUGAGAGAUUGAGCUUGGAGUAGCAUGUCAGAGGAAAGGAGAAGGUUUAAGAUGAAGGAGAUGGAGUGGGGAGUGUGGUGAAGGCCUUGAUAGGUUGCGGUGUUGAACAACAAGAGUGCUUUUGGUGGAGGCACUUUCACCAUCUUUUGGAUGAGAAUCAGUGCUUCGUGCGACUGUGACAUGCUUCUUCUCUGACCCCUCCGACAUCUGAAAAUCAGCUUCAGAGGAAAUGCCAAAUUGGUGACUUCUUGUGUGGCGGUGGCAUCAACAUAUGGAGCCACACGUCAAAACCUUAACUAGCCCCCCAUUAUGAGAAUAUUUCAUGUUCCAAAAUUAC
rnacentral:lncRNA from 1 species